UGGGGAAUAUUGCACAAUGGGCGAAAGCCUGAUGCAGCAACGCCGCGUGAGUGAUGAAGGUCUUCGGAUUGUAAAGCUCUGUCUUUUGGGACGAUAAUGACGGUACCAAAGGAGGAAGCCACGGCUAACUACGUGCCAGCAGCCGCGGUAAUACGUAGGUGGCGAGCGUUGUCCGGAUUUACUGGGCGUAAAGGGUGCGUAGGCGGAUGUUUAAGUGAGAUGUGAAAUACCCGGGCUUAACUUGGGUGCUGCAUUUCAAACUGGAUAUCUAGAGUGCAGGAGAGGAGAAUGGAAUUCCUAGUGUAGCGGUGAAAUGCGUAGAGAUUAGGAAGAACACCAGUGGCGAAGGCGAUUCUCUGGACUGUAACUGACGCUGAGGCACGAAAAGCGUGGGUAGCAAACAGGAUUAGAUACCCUGGUAGUCCACGCCGUAAACGAUGAGUACUAGGUGUAGGAGGUAUCGACCCCUUCUGUGCCGCAGUAAACACAUUAAGUACUCCCGCCUGGGAAGUACGAUCGCAAGAUUAAAACUCUAAAGUGAAUUGACGGGGUC
rnacentral:rRNA from 1 species